rnacentral:rRNA from 1 species
AUACGGAGGAUGCAAGCGUUAUCCGGAUUUAUUGGGUUUAAAGGGUGCGUAGGCGGAUGAUUAAGCGUGAGGUGAAAUGCCACUGCUCAACAGUGGAACUGCCUCGCGAACUGGUUGUCUUGAAUGCUCCUGCCGUGGGAGGAAUGUGUGGUGUAGCGGUGAAAUGCAUAGAGAUCAUACAGAACACCGAUUGCGAAGGCAGCUGCCGACGGGGUGAUUGACGCUGAGGCACGAAAGCGUGGGGAUCAAACAGGAUUAGAUACCCUGGUAGUCCCCGCUGUAAACGAUGAUGACUAGGUGUGGGGGGACUGAACCCUUCCGUGCCGCAGAUAACACGAUAAGUCAUCCACCUGGGGAGUACGGGCGCAAGGUUGAAACUCAAAGGAAUUGACGGGG